AACGAACGCUGGCGGCAGGCUUAACACAUGCAAGUCGAGCGCCCCGCAAGGGGAGCAGCAGACGGGUGAGUAACGCGUGGGAAUCUACCCAUCUCUACGGAAUAACGCAUGGAAACGUCUGCUAAUACCGUAUACGUCCUUCGGAAGAAAGAUUUAUCGGAGAUGGAUGAGCCCGAGUUGGAUUAGCUAGUUGGGGGGGUAAAGGCCGACCAAGGCGAGGAGCCAUAGCUGGUCUGCGCGGAUGAUCAGCCACACUGGGACUGGGACACGGCCCAGACUCCUACGGGAGGCAGCAGUGGGGAAUAUGGGACAAUGGGCGCAAGUCGGAUCCAGCCCGGCCGCGUGAGUGAUGAAGGCCCUAGGGUUGUAAAGCUCUUUCACCGGUGAAGAUAAUGACGGUAACCGGAGAAGAAGCCCCGGCUAACUUCGUGCCAGCCGCCGCAGUAAUAC
rnacentral:rRNA from 1 species